rnacentral:rRNA from 1 species
UGGGGGAUAUUGCACAAUGGGGGAAACCCUGAUGCAGCGACGCCGCGUGAGUGAAGAAGUAUCUCGGUAUGUAAAGCUCUAUCAGCAGGAAAGAUAAUGACGGUACCUGACUAAGAAGCCCCGGCUAACUACGUGCCAGCAGCCGCGGUAAUACGUAGGGGGCAAGCGUUAUCCGGAUUUACUGGGUGUAAAGGGAGCGUAGACGGCAGCGCAAGUCUGGAGUGAAAUGCCGGGGCCCAACCCCGGAACUGCUUUGGAAACUGUGCGGCUCGAGUGCGGGAGAGGUAGGCGGAAUUCCUAGUGUAGCGGUGAAAUGCGUAGAUAUUAGGAGGAACACCAGUGGCGAAGGCGGCUUACUGGACCGUAACUGACGUUGAGGCUCGAAAGCGUGGGGAGCAAACAGG